rnacentral:rRNA from 1 species
AAACUAACAAGGAUUCCCCUAGUAACGGCGAGUGAAGCGGGAAGAGCUCAAAUUUGAAAUCUGGUAGCCUUCGGUUGCCCGAGUUGUAAUCUAGAGAAGUGUUUUCCGUGCCGGCCCAUGUACAAGUCCCUUGGAACAGGGCGUCAUAGAGGGUGAGAAUCCCGUCCUUGACAUGGACCCCCGGUGCUUUGUGAUACACUUUCAACGAGUCGAGUUGUUUGGGAAUGCAGCUCAAAAUGGGUGGUGAAUUCCAUCUAAAGCUAAAUAUUGGCGAGAGACCGAUAGCGAACAAGUACCGUGAGGGAAAGAUGAAAAGCACUUUGGAAAGAGAGUUAAACAGUACGUGAAAUUGUUGAAAGGGAAACGAUUGAAGUCAGUCAUGCUCUUGGGACUUACCUCCCUUGAGUGGGGUCAACAUCAGUUUUGAUCGAUGGAUAAAGGCACGGGGAAGGUAGCACUCUCGGGUGAACUUAUAGCCUCGCGUCAUAUACAUUGAUUGGGACUGAGGAACGCAGCAUGCCUUAUGGCCGGGAUUCGUCCACGUACAUGCUUAGGAUGUUGACAUAAUGGCUUUAAACGAC